UACGGAGGGGGCGAGUGUUGUUCGGAAUUACUGGGCGUAAAGGGCGCGCAGGCGGCCUGGCAAGUCGAGUGUGAAAUCCCUUGGCUUAACUGAGGAAUGGCGCUCGAAACUACCUCGCUGGAGGGCGGGAGAGGGAAGUGGAACUCUCGGUGUAGGGGUGAAAUCUGUAGAUAUCGAGAGGAACACCGGUGGCGAAGGCGGCUUCCUGGCCCGUACCUGACGCUGAGGCACGAAAGCGUGGGGAGCAAACAGG
rnacentral:rRNA from 1 species